UACGGGGGGGGCAAGCGUUGUUCGGAAUUACUGGGCGUAAAGGGUUCGUAGGUGGCUUGCUCAGUCAGACGUGAAAUCCCUCAGCUUAACUGGGGAACUGCGUCUGAUACUGGCGAGCUUGAGUGCAGGAGAGGAACGCGGAAUUCCAGGUGUAGCGGUGAAAUGCGUAGAUAUCUGGAGGAACACCGGUGGCGAAGGCGGUUCUCUGGGCAUGAUCUGACGCUGAGGAGCGAAAGUGUGGGGAGCGAACAGG
rnacentral:rRNA from 1 species